ensembl:lncRNA
CUUCCGUUGAUUCUCAUAAUUUAAAAAUGUGGGAAGCUGUGGAAGGCUGCCCCACCCCUGGGGAUCAUUCCAAAGAAAACUGGGAGGUAAGGCUCGCCUCAGUCCUUGCAUGCAGACGUCCGUCAACGGUUUGUACAGUUUCCAGGCUUCUGCUUUCAUUUCAUUCCUUGGGACUUGAAUAUUCAAAUCUGGCAUAUUCUUGAAGCCUGAGAGAUGGAUUUAGAAGAGAUUUUGUUUAAGUCACUUGAUCCUAAAAACAGGGCACACCCUUCUUAAUAAAUAACUUUGAAGAAAUUGUGGUUAUAGAUCCUGUGAUUAGUUUGGUAGAGGAAGAUGUGCAGGAAUAAACACAGUGAAAUCAUGAGGGCAAAGUAAUGUCCUCAAAGAAUGAGAUAUUUCUCAUUUUUCUCUACGUCCCUGAAAUGUCCUGAAAAAGCAAGCAUUCAGGGCAGGAGCUUUGCAAUCAGUUACAAAACGUCAGUGUCUAUUGAAGAAGGUUCAAAUGCAUGGAAGCCUCAUGCAUUUUUCUUUUUUUUUGGCCGUUCCUAGACCUCCUAAAUAAGGCAUUUUUCCCUAGAGUAGGCUCCCGGGCAGCAUGUCAGGGCAGUGGCUGAGUCUGCUUGCCGGGGGUCAGGAAGGCUGUUCUUCCAGGAAGGGCUGCAGAGACCCUGGGAACAGGACUAGGCUGCUCACAAGUAUGAAGAGAAUGUCGGGAGAGGAAGUGGUGGCUGUGAGUCAGCAUGAGUCAUCUCGUUCCAAUGAGAAUGAAGACUGAGGUGUGCGCCUUUUUUUUCUCUCUCUCACUUUUUAAAUUUUUUUUAUUUUUUUGAGUCUCAAUCGUGUGGACAUCACUGGGAAUGGAGGGAAAUAACUGACUGAAUGGUCGUUGCUUUUAAGUUUCAAACCGACAUUCCAGGCGGGUUGUGUCUGAGCCAGCCUCGGGCUUUCAGACCUUCACAGCCUGGUCCUGAGAAGGUAGAGCUCUCAGCUUCUCCCUGAGUUGUCACAGUGCUCAACCUGGAUUCAACUGCUCUUCCCCACAGCUAUCCCUCGCUGACUCCACCAGGAAUAACUGGGAGAUGAAACAGGAAACUUUAUGACACACUUGCUUGAAAAUGACACAGGACUCAGCCCCUCUGCAUCACCUCUACCUGCUGCCCACAGCCGAAUGCGGGGGAAGGGCUGGCCCUGGGACCUGAUUCCAACCGCCGUGGACUCGACGUUCAGUGUGAUGUGUCUGCCAUACUGUGGUCAUGGGCUAGUCUGGUCGGUUUCCUAUGUAGCUGGCCACUCUCAGUGUAUCUUUGCCCCUUUUCCUUCAUUAAAAGCAUAACUAAAGAAAAAUGGAUUGUUUACUUAUUGUUGCUGUUCAUCCGCUAAGUUGUGUCUGACCCUUUGAGACCCCAUGGGCUGUAGCACUCCAGGCUCCUCUGAACUCCACGAUCUCAAUAGCUCUGUUUAAAUCUCAAUGUAAAGGAGACCAAAUAAUGUUUGAGAUUCAUUUCUCUAGGACCACAGAGAAACCAUGUCAUAACCACACAGCUCAUUAUGACAGCUUCUAGAAGAAGUGUGUUGAACUUGAAUCACUUAUUACUCAGUCUGGUCUGCCCUGCCUUUUCUUCUCUCUCUGGAAGCCCUCUCUUGAAUCAGUACUGGCAAGUUGACACUUGAGAAAAAUCCUGGGAGAUAUUUGGAAGUCUCUUCCCACACCCUCUCUGAUCAUGGCCUACAGACGGUGGCCCUGAAUCGUCACCAACCUUGAGCUUGCUACUGCAGACUUCUGUCUUCUCAGCUGCCCCUCUCCUUCCCUCUGCACAUCAGCCACUCAUUCACUGUUUCAU